rnacentral:rRNA from 1 species
UACGUAGGGUGCAAGCGUUAAUCGGAAUUACUGGGCGUAAAGCGUGCGCAGGCGGCUUUGCAAGACAGAUGUGAAAGCCCCGGGCUCAACCUGGGAAUGGCGAUGGAUACUGGCUCGCUAGAGUGCGGUAGAGGAGAGUGGAAUUCCCGGUGUAGCAGUGAAAUGCGUAGAGAUCGGGAGGAACAUCAGUUGCGAAGGCGGCUCUCUGGACCAGCACUGACACUGAGGCACGAAAGCGUGAGGAGCAAACAGG